AUGGAUCCAUCUAUCAAGGAUUAUUUUGAGAAAAUCCUCUCCCGCAUGGAGGAAAUCCGAGUCGAGCUUCGCAACAGCACGGACGCCAUCAGGUCCAACAACGCCAAGCUUGACGACAUGAAUGUCACUGCUCUGCAGCAGGAGCGCGCCCCCUCUUCGGCACCGCUCGGCGAGGAAGGACUCGAUUCGGCUUCUUCAUCCACUACCCCGACCCCACUGGAUACUCCCGUCGCGCCCCAUAGCCGCCUCGCAGCCAUGGCGCUGACCCCAUCAUCGACCACCGACGCGAUCUUCUCUGGUGGUGACGAUAAGUUCGUCGGCUCCGCCACCCCUGCGACGACCAUCACCGCGCCUGCAGUCCUCCCCGACACCUAUUCACCAGCUGCAAUGAAGCACAAGGUCGUUGAGGUCCUCUGUGACGGGUCUCCUGACUGCAUCGUCAUCUCGCCCAGGACUUGUUCGACAGAAUGCUCGAACCAAGUCGGAGCCAAGUCGCUUCCGCCUCCAGUCACGACGGCAUCACUACUCCCAAAAUCCACAUGCGCGCUCGUCGCCGACCUCGUUCAUCCUGCUACCAAUGUUGUAGCUGCGAUGCAGCCAUUCCUGGACCAUGAGCUGGACGUCUUACCGCGCACAAGGCAUCAGGGGCUGCUGCUAUGGCCGAUGCCGUGGCCAUCGUUUUGGAUGGAGUCUGUAGAGGGAAACGAGAAGAAUUUUUCUGGUGAUCUAAAGCCCCCGAGGGAAUCCUGGAGGUAUCUGCAAAUUGUACAGCGGAAACCAUGUCAGUCUGAGCAGGAAUGGAGUUUAUCUAUUUCAACUGAGCUACAAGGUUAUGACAUACCGGGUGCGGACCGUGAGCUCCAAACAAAGGCACGACCACUGUUCAGGUUCAGUCAAGACAAUAUUCACCUGAAGCUGUCAGGACCAUCUGCUGCUAUUUGUGUAUUCUGUACAGUUCUCUUUGGCAAUCAAUCAAUGAUGCUACAUGACGGGUUAAUACAAGGCAUGCAACUGUCCAAGUCUGUUGACCUCCGGGAUGCAACUCUUUCAAGCACGGAUUAUGUGAUACUGAACUUGGUCCAGUCUGGAAAACCACUUGUUGCCAACAGUCAGUUUUGGCCUAGAGGAUGGCUGUUUCCGGAGUACCAUAAGAUAUGUCUUUAUUGGCGAACUUGGGAUCCAAGAUGGAUGUUCUGGUGCACUACCAUACUCAGCUCAGGUGAUAUCACUGGGUGCUUGCAUGAUAUGAUUCUUUCGAGCAGUUCAGCAAAUUGUACACAGGCUGAGCUAGCACAUGGAUAUAAGUAUUCAGUUUUUAGUUUACACAUAUCAACUUCGGGGACUGGGAUUGAGUGUCGUUCGUCUCUGUUGUCUACAUUCGGUGAGUCAUUGCUGCAUCUUCAUAGGGCACUGUUGCUAUUAUCUUGGCUACCACCUACUGGUACCUCAUUUUGGAUGGACCUCGCUGAUGGAAAUAAGGUACGACCCCUGCGGUGGCUGUUGUGUGCUUGCUCUCAUGAAGGUAUGACUCUGAAUCAUGCAGGGCUGCCACCACAAGUUAUUUAUGUGAAGAAGAAUUUAUUUGGUGAUCUGAAUUGUCUGAGAGCAUCCUGGAGCUGGAGGUAUCUAGUAAUUGUGCACCUGAAAACAUAUUCCUCUAAGAAGGUUGUUUGCUGGAUCCAUACAGUGCCCCUAUCGCUCCUGGUUCUUCUCUUACCAUUUGCUCAACCUCCUGUGAAACAUGAGAAAGCUAGUACGCAGCAACUUAUAUCACCUGAGCGCUAUAACCAGUUCUUCCAUAAUCUGAAUUCUCGUAUCGCUUUCUCAAGGUAUUUUCCAAAUCUGCAACUGAAGUCUAAAUUUGGUCAAACAAAUGUCCACCUGAAGCUUCCAUGGCCAUCUGGUUCUUGCGAUUGCCGAGCAGUGCAAGUGCGUUCAGAACUGCCUAAGGGAAUAAUUCAUAUUAUGCGUAUGUCAGUGCGCUUGGUUGUUUUGAGUCAAGAAGAAUUUAAAGGCAGUCAUCGUGCUUCAAUCAACUUCCACACUAACAAUGCAUGGGAACGGUGCUCCAAUCUCCUUGGGAAUUACAUAAGGAUACUUCCAGUGCAGCUCUCAUGCUCGUGGUUUUUGAAACGGGACAAAAAUGAUUCAGAUUUCAGUGGCCAUGACAAGCUCCUUCACAACAAGCAGCGAUUGGGUGCUCAACACUUCUGA
rnacentral:rRNA from 1 species